rnacentral:rRNA from 1 species
GACGAACGCUGGCGGCGUGCUUAACACAUGCAAGUCGAGCGGUAAGGCCUCUUCGGGGGUACACGAGCGGCGAACGGGUGAGUAACACGUGAGUAAUCUGCCCUUCACUUCGGGAUAACCAUCGGAAACGGUGGCUAAUACCGGAUAUGACUCGUCCCUGCAUGGGGGUGGGUGGAAAGUUUUUUCGGUGGAGGAUGUGCUCGCGGCCUAUCAGCUUGUUGGUGAGGUAACGGCUCACCAAGGCUUCGACGGGUAGCCGGCCUGAGAGGGUGACCGGCCACACUGGGACUGAGACACGGCCCAGACUCCUACGGGAGGCAGCAGUGGGGAAUAUUGGACAAUGGGCGGAAGCCUGAUCCAGCAACGCCGCGUGAGGGAUGACGGCCUUCGGGUUGUAAACCUCUUUCAGCUCCGACGAAGCGCCCGUGAGGGUGGUGACGGUAGGUGCAGAAGAAGGACCGGCCAACUACGUGCCAGCCGCCGCAGUAAUAC